rnacentral:tRNA from 1 species
GGGCGAUUAGCUCAGCUGGGAGAGCACCUGCUUUACACGCAGGGGGUCGGCGGUUCGAGCCCGUCAUCGCCCACCA